AAAUAGAAAGUUUUAUUCUUGAGUCAGGUUAUUUUGCUGUGAUUUCUUGCUUGCUUGACCUAAUCAGAAUGCCUAGUGGCAAGCAGUGUCAGCUGAGGCAGUAAGUUAAACAGCUGAAACCUUCACUGUCUGGCAGGGUUCUAUCCUCAGUAGGGGCUUCUGGUUUUACAGGCCUGGAGGGUAAGUUCCUGCACUUGAAAAACAGUUCAAUAGAAUCUCUGGAGGCAACAAGUUAAUGACCAAAGAUUUUAAUGGUCUACAACAAUUGAUGAGUGUAAAUUUAAGCUCUGUGGGACUUAUCUGAGAGAAACUGAUGAAAAGAUACUAUGUGAAGGUAGCUGUUCCAGAGAUAAUGUCCAUUAGGUAUUGCACUAUGUUUGAACUUGAAGAGUAAAGCAAGGCUGUAAAAUCACCGACAGUGUUCCUCAGGAUGCAGCCAAGAAAGGAAAUAUUUAUGGACUGCUUAGGUAGCUUUGGAUCAGAUGAUGCUGAAGUGCAUUUUUCAAAUGGUUGCUGAAGCUUUCUUCCUGCAGAUUUCCAAUCUUACAUCCUGUUCUUUGCCAUGCUGACAUGAUCAAACCUGGAAUGAGACUGUUAAAGACAUUGUUUCCAGCUGCCUCUCUCAUCACAAUCUCACAGGAAUGCUGGGAAAUAUACAGUUAGGGAUAUCUAAACCAGGUGAAGCUAUUUGCAAAUUCAAAUUCCUUCCCUGGUAACAUGGUAGCAUCCACAGUGCAGAAAAGAAUAAGGGCAGUGUUCUGGAAACAGUUGCUCAGCAUAGCCUCUGGAAAGGGAAAUCCAACCCCAAUAAGCGGCUGGAAUUCUCUGAAGGUGCCUCUAAGCACAAGAAGAAAUGAUAACCAUUUGGCUUUUAUUUUUUAAAAAUUUUCCUGAAAAUUAUGAAGAAUGGAUAAAGUGAAUGCAGAACUGUUAUUUUAAAAAUAUAUCAAUAAUUAACCUAUUGUGAAUCAGGGACACUUUUUGAAACAAUAGGAAAUCAGUUUCAGCUAAACAUAAGGAAGGUUGUAUUAAAUAAAAACAUACAGAAGAAUAAA